rnacentral:rRNA from 1 species
UGGGGAAUCUUAGACAAUGGGGGAAACCCUGAUCUAGCCAUGCCGCGUGAGUGACGAAGGCCCUAGGGUCGUAAAGCUCUUUCGCCAGGGAAGAUAAUGACGGUACCUGGUAAAGAAACCCCGGCUAACUCCGUGCCAGCAGCCGCGGUAAUACGGAGGGGGUUAGCGUUGUUCGGAAUUACUGGGCGUAAAGCGCACGUAGGCGGACCAGUCAGUCAGAGGUGAAAUCCCGGGGCUCAACCUCGGAACUGCCUUUGAUACUGCUGGUCUCGAGUUCGAGAGAGGUGAGUGGAAUUCCGAGUGUAGAGGUGAAAUUCGUAGAUAUUCGGAGGAACACCAGUGGCGAAGGCGGCUCACUGGCUCGAUACUGACGCUGAGGUGCGAAAGCGUGGGGAGCAAACAGGAUUAGAUACCCCUGUAGUCC